UACUUUCUUGUUUCUAUGAAACUGGAGCACUAGGCUAAGCUCCGAAGGAGAACUUGAUUUUCCCAGGUCGUAAACAAUGAGAAAUCAGGUACCCAGAAGCUAUAGCUUGAAGAACACAGUAAUCAUUUCUUCUUCAACUCAAGUAAAAUAAAAAGAAAAAACCAAAGAUCAUAUGCAAACAUCAAUGACGCACCCACAUACAAAUAACAUGGUAAAUAUGUAGUGAAAUAGAGGAGUAGAGUUUAGAGGCUCAAUUUACAAGUAAAAGGAGAAGACAUUGUCCUUCUUUUAGAAUUUUGAGAGUUGGAUGCCACUUUUAUUUGUUGUUAUUUUUCAAUUGAGUAGCGAGUCGUUCGGUGGUACUUUUUGUUUUGC
rnacentral:lncRNA from 1 species